rnacentral:lncRNA from 1 species
CAACUUGAACUUUCCCUAACCUAAAAGCUAAAAGGAAAAGGACGCUUUCAAGUUUCAAACAUAUUUUUAAUCUCAGCUACCAUCCGUCGGAUUUCUUUGGAAACUAACUAUACCAUUCCAUUCCGAAGACUUUUUACUACAAGUAAACAAUGCUUCGCAAAUGAUGAGUCUACGAUUGCAAGCUAGCCAUCGCAAAUGUUCAGACAUACAUAAUAAUCUUGGAACCCGUAUAGAAAACCUACAGGUACUGAUUUUCAAGAUUAUCAAACCUUCACUCUGCAAGAAUUCUGGUAUUUGGAAGAUCUCAUCAGUAAUAUGUCUGCAGAAUGCCAAUCAGAGGUGAAGACCUAUGACCUUAUGGCAACUAUAUGCCAUAAAGGAGAGAGUCCUAAUAGCGGACAUUACAUUUGCUACGAGUUUAUGGACGAACAAAAAAUCUGGUUCGAAUACGACGACGAACGUGUGACCAAGGUCACAGCAGAUAAGGUUGCUUCAUGUGAACUUCAUGCGCUGUAUGUUGUUAAGGUUUGGAGGUGGCCCCGUUUGCCCGCUGCAUUCUUUGGCUGAAUCCGAGAUAUGUGGAAACAAAAUGAAUGACCAGUCAGAAUGUUUACUGUCACUUUGCUAUGGGGCGUCACAAAUCCAUUCAACAAAAGUGGAUCUAAAGAGAUGGAAAACGUGGACUCUGAUUGUGUCCUACAAACGAUCAUAAGACAAAUAAUUCUCGUGGUCUUCAUU